GACGAACGCUGGCGGCGUGCUUAACACAUGCAAGUCGAACGGAAAGGCCCUGCUUUUGUGGGGUGCUCGAGUGGCGAACGGGUGAGUAACACGUGAGUAACCUGCCCUUGACUUUGGGAUAACUUCAGGAAACUGGGGCUAAUACCGGAUAGGAGCUCCUGCUGCAUGGUGGGGGUUGGAAAGUUUCGGCGGUUGGGGAUGGACUCGCGGCUUAUCAGCUUGUUGGUGGGGUAGUGGCUUACCAAGGCUUUGACGGGUAGCCGGCCUGAGAGGGUGACCGGCCACAUUGGGACUGAGAUACGGACCAGACUCCUACGGGAGGCAGCGGUGGGGAAUAUUGCACAAUGGGCGGAAGCCUGAUGCAGCAACGCCGCGUGCGGGAUGACGGCCUUCGGGUUGUAAACCGCUUUCGCCUGUGACGAGGCGUGAGUGACGGUAAUGGGUAAAGAAGCACCGGCUAACUACGUG
rnacentral:rRNA from 1 species